GGAACACGUCUGCCCCGCAGCCGCCGUCAACGGGGACGUCAGCGCCGGCGGAGGGCGCGUCUGCCGCCGGCUGCUUCCGCGCGGACCAUGGCGGUGCCCGAGCCGCCGCUGCCGCUGCCGCGAGGAGGCCCAGGCUCCGCUUCGCUCUCCCCGCCCCGGGGCGACCGCACCCUCCUCGUCAGGCACCUGCCGGCCGAGCUGACGGCCGAGGAGAAGGAGGACCUGCUCAAGUACUUCGGGGCGCAGUCGGUGCGCGUCCUGUCCGACAAGGGGCGCCUGAAACAUACAGCAUUUGCUACUUUCCCUAAUGAAAAAACAGCAAUAAAGGCAUUGACAAGACUCCAUCAGCUGAAACUGCUAGGCCAUACUUUAGUUGUUGAAUUUGCAAAAGAGCAAGAUCGAGUUCAUUCCCCAUGUCCCACCUCAAAUACAGAGAAAAAGAAAAGAUCGGAUGACAUUGUGGAAGAUGAUAAAGAGAAGAAAGAGCCUGACUUUUUAACAAUAGAAAAUGGAAUUGCACCAAAUCAUGGGCUGACUUUUCCUCUAAAUUCAUGCCUCAAAUAUAUGUACCCACCACCUUCAAGUACAAUCCUUGCAAAUAUAGUAAAUGCUCUGGCAAGUGUGCCCAAAUUCUAUGUACAGGUGCUUCAUCUUAUGAAUAAAAUGAAUUUGCCCACCCCAUUUGGACCUAUUACUGCACGACCUCCUAUGUAUGAGGACUAUAUGCCAUUGCAUGCGCCCCUUCCACCUACAUCACCUCAACCACCUGAGGAACCUCCCUUGCCAGAUGAGGAUGAGGAUUUAUCUAGUAAAGAAUCAGAAUAUGAAAGCAGUGAUGAGGAAGACCGACAGAGAAUGAACAAACUAAUGGAACUAGCAAAUCUUCAGCCCAAAAGACCCAAAGCCACAAAGCCACGCCAAGUGAGAAAAAAGCGAAAAAUAAAGGAUAUGUUGAAUAUACCUUCGUCAACUUCACAGAGUUUGCAUCCUGUGCUGUUACCAUCAGAUGUAUUUGACCAACCACAACCUGUUGGCAAUAAAAAAAUUGAAUUCAAUAUAUCUACCAACAUGCCAGCAGCAUUUAAGAAUGAUUUGGAGAAGGAACAGAACAAUGAGGAAAAAAAUUCUGAUUUACCAGAUACUGGACUUGAUGAUUCAAAUACAGGAUUUGGAAAAAUUUUCCCCAAACCUAAUUUGAGCAUCACAGAAGAGAUUAAAGAUGAUUCUGAUGAAAUGCCCUCACAAUGUAUUUCUCGAAGGGAGUUGGAAAAGGGUCGAAUUUCUAGAGAAGAAAUGGAAAACCUUUCAGUUUUCAGAAGUUAUGAACCUGGUGAACCAAACUGCCGAAUUUAUGUAAAGAAUUUAGCUAGACAUGUUCAAGAAAAGGACCUCAAAUUUAUCUUUGGAAGAUAUGUUGACUUUUCUUCAGAAACACAGCGGAUAAUGUUUGAUAUCCGCUUGAUGAAAGAAGGACGCAUGAAAGGACAAGCUUUUGUUGGACUUCCAAAUGAAAAAGCAGCAGCUAAAGCCUUAAAAGAAGCUAAUGGCUAUGUUCUUUUUGGAAAACCCAUGGUGGUUCAGUUUGCUCGAUCUGCUAGACCAAAACAAGACUCUAAAGAAGGAAAACGAAAGUGAUAGCAAUGGAUAAAGAAGCAUUCCUGCGUAAAUACUGCUGUAAUACUGUCAUACAAGUGUAUCCUUUCUUGUUGUAUCCUUUUUGGGGCAGUGGUUUUGUUUCAUUUUGUUUUCUAGAAAUGCUUUGUCUUCCUUCUAUCAUUUAUCCAGAUUAAGCAAUACUUUUUAUACUUCAUUCAAAUGAAAUGGUUCUCAAGUUAGUUUUGUAGCCUGAACAAAUAUUUUACCUGUAUUCUAGAUUCACUGUUUAACUUUCUAUGUUGUCAUAUAAUCAAGGAGUUUUUUUCAGGGAAAGUUAGUGAAUCAGGUCACUUAGUGUAUACAUAUGUUUUACUGCAGAGUAUGGUAGUAUUUCUUCUCUAUUGACUUUCUGUUUCAUGAUAUAUCCCAUUGAGGUAUCGUUCUAGUUUCAUUUUUGUUGCUGUGACAAAUACCCUGACCAAAAGCAACUUAGGGUAGAAGGGGUUUAUUUGUCUUAUACUUCCAAGUUACUGUUCAUUGUUGUGGGGAAGGCGAGGCAUGAGUUUAAAAACUCAUAUCUACAGUCGAGCAGAGAGAGAAUAAACAUAUAGAUCCUCACUUGAUUAGUCUGAGCUAGCUUUUUGCUCUCUUACACUGUUCGGGGUCCCUUUCCUAAGGAAUGGUGCUACGCAAAAUUGGCUGGAUCUUGCAUCAUUUAACAUUCAAGACCAUCUUAUGCUCUCAGACCAGCAUAGUCUAGACGAUGGUUUAUUAGGACUGUUUCCCCAGGUUAUUUGUUGUUGUGUCAAGUUGACAAGGCUAUCCAGCAGAGUUGUUCUAUAUAACAUGUUCUAAAAUUUGUCUGAGAAAGGAUCUUUUUUCCCUUUAUUAAUAACUACAUUGAAACUAACAAAAUUCCAUAAAUAUCUCAAAGUAGAGUAACAGAUACCACAUAAACAGUCUAAAUGAAAUGCCUUUGAGAAGUGGUAGGAUUUCCCUUACUCUUGGUCUUUUCAAAACACAAAUGAAAAAUUAAAAAACUAGAUUUAAAUAUAUAUGUGUAUAUAUAUAUAUAUAAAUUUUGAUAUACAUAUAUAAACUUGAAAAGAAUAAUAGAUAAGACAUGUUAUACUUCAGAUAGCUUAGUAAAUUAUCUUCUAGAAAUAAGAAGUUAUUCCAGGCUGUAUGAUGACUAGAAUCUCUCAGAACAGUUAGUGUCAAAUUUUCCUGCACAUUUAAAUCCUGAUAACUCUAAAUUAGGUAAUAAUGUAUUACCCAUUUUCUGACUUAGAGUUUGAUUCUAGUAUAUUAUUAAUAUAGAGAGAACUACCAAGGAAGAGUUUCUAUGUAACAAUAUUUUUAGACUCUUAUCUUAGAACUAUAAAUCAAAGUCACUUGAAAUUACAUCCAGUAUAAUUUGAAAGGUUCCUUUAGUAAUAGAAAGGACCACUGACAAGUUUAGAUGGUACUUUGUUAAAGUGAUUGGCCAUUGCAUACCACCUUAGUCAUACAAUAUUUUUUUAGUAGUAAAAUAAAAAUCCUCAACAUUUUGUUGGAAAUGGUGCUAAUAUAAGUGCUAUAAAACUACUCAAAAUUCUCUUAUUUGUCACCCUAAUAUUAGAAACUUACCAAAAUUGAGAUUAUAUUCUCUUGAUAUACACAAUUGAAUUAGUUUAGAUUUAAGUAUUAUAAUAUUAUAAGUAGCAGUCAUUAAUAUAUAUUUUGUUGUGCUGACAUGAUUCACUAAUUUUCUACAUAUAAGUAUUUGGGCUUUUUAAAGUUAAUGAAUUGAAUUAUUAUUAUUUUUAAUGGGCUUUUGUGGUGUUUUAGGUUCCUUCUGAAUUCUCUGUCUUUCAAGUACUGUGGAACUAUGAGAGAAGAAAUUGGCAAUCUGGACCUUGGAACUACAACACUUCUGGGGAGUAGUAAAUGGAGUUGAUCAAGAUGAGGUGUGUCAUGAGGCCAUAACAGCCAGAAGAACAGCCCCAAACUUGGGCAGACAUACCCUGCUCAAGUGCAGGCCAUGCCAGCUACAAGAACAAGUAGGACACCCACCCUCAGAACUUCCCACUUCCAUGCUUCCCCCAUAUAUAAUCCUUCACCACCACUCCACACUCCACUUCGCUGUGUCCCUGACCCCAACUUGGACUGACAAUCCCUGCUCAAGUGCAGGCUGCACUAGCCAAAAGAGCAGAUAGGUGAACAGAUGGGUGAACUCGGGCAGAGACCUUCUGCUCUACCAAAGACUGUGGAAGCUGCCAGAAGUCCAGGAGACUGCUUGCCCAUGGAAGUGCUCCACUCUCUUUGCAUGCCUCCAAUAUCCCCAAGCUGCUGGAUACAAGAUUAACUCACAAAAUAAAUAACCCUCCUAUAUUCAAAUAACAAAUGGACUGAGAAAGAAAUCAAAGAAACAACAUUCUUCACAAUAACUGCAAGUAAUAUACAAUAUCUUGGGGUAGGUAACUCUAACCAAGCAAGUGAAAGAUUUAUGACAAAAACUUCAAGUCUUUGAAGAAAUUGAGGAGGAUACCUGAUGAUGGAAAAAUCUUCCAUUCUUGCCAUGCUCAUGGAUUAUUAGGAUUGAUGUAGAAAAUCCCAAAGAAGGCCACAAAACCCUGUUGUAACUAAUGAAUUUAGCAAUGACAUAACGAAAGUUUUAUAUUUAUAUACUAGAAAUGAGAAAGUGACUAAAUAUACCUUUCAUGGUAGUAUUAGAAAUAUAAAAUAAUUAGCAAUAAAUGUAUUAAAUAGACUUAUAUAGUGAGAAUUAUUAAACGUUUCAGGAACAAGAUGUCCAAUUUCAAAGGUUAUCUAAAUAAAAUCAAGGCCUUAAUAAGAUACAGUAGAAUGGCAUUUUAAAAUUCAAAAGACUGGCAAUGUCAAAUGUUAUGAAUAACAUGAGAAAGCUCCAUUGUUAUUUGAUAGCUUGGAGUAUUAAAUGUUACUCUCACUUUGGGCAAGUAUUUGAAAAAUGGGCAAGCAUUUGUAGUGUCUAUGCAUAUAUAAUAUAAACAAUCUUUUUUCUAGAUAUUAACACAUAUGAUAUAAAAAUUAUUUGUGGAAAGCAUUGUUCAUAUUUUUUCUUAGCAGCUUUGUUCAAAAUGAAAACAACUCAAAUUCUACCAACAUCUGAUUGGAUAAACAUAUGAUGGUACAUUAUAUGUAUAGAAUGUCACAUAGUGAUAUAAAGCAUAAGACUGUCAUAAUGUACUUUUCAUGAAUGUCAUCUUGAUCUAGUUUUGAGGGCCUGGCCAGUCCUGCUUUUAAGUAGUUCAGUCAAAAUACCCAGCCACCUCCUUAUAGAACUGCUACAGUCUUGUAACUUCAUGCCCAUCUAAACUGUUUAUGUUUAGGUGCCAAUCAGAGACAACCACUAUUACCCAAAAGCCAUUGAAGGUAUUCAAAACAGCCAAAAUUAUUUCUCUCCCAACUUAUUCCUUCAUGCAGGAAACUAAAACAAAACAGAACAAAAAACCACUUGGCCUUGAUUUAUUUCUGUAUGUCUCAUGGUUGAUGGUACUACUUCUGGUAUGAUAGAUGUGAGGGUCAUGGUAAGAAUUGUAAGGGAAAGAAAGGAAUGCCAUAUUAUUAAAAUGUUUUGUAUUUCUGUAUGAAAUUCAAUAAAAAAAUCAAAUACA